UGUGUUGUGGAGUAGAAAUGGCAACAGUGUGCUUCCUGGCCUUUUUCUUAGUAGCAGAGAAAAAGCUUUCCAGAUUUCACACACGAAGUAUGAUGUUUGUUUUAGGAGUCUCUUUGUAAGUACUUUUGAAUCUUAAGGAUGUUUUCUUCUGUUUCUGCUCUGCGAUGCUGUUUUAACUGUGAUUGGCUGUUAAACUUCGUCGGAUGCUUUUCCUGCAUUACUUGAUCAUAGAAUUUUUAUGUUUUUCUGUUAAUGUGUGACUUACUGACUUCAAAUGUUGACACUGUCUUCCAUUUCUGGAAUUAAACUGCUUUGAUUAUGAUAUUGGUUAUAUGGAUAAAUAUUUCUGGUCUUGGUUUGCUAUUUUUUAAAGACAGUUUUGCAUUUGUAUUUGUAAUUUUUCUGGAUUUUGCAUGCCAUUUUCCUUGUGAUUUUUUUUUUUUUUGGUGACCUACAAUUUUCUUUUCUUGUAAUGCCCUGUAAGUUACCGGUAUUGACCACCACCCCUUUACUAACAGAGCAGCUGUAAAUCAGGAAGAGGGUAAUGCCCAUGCAGCCCUGCUAGCUUCCAUCUCUCCACCAGAGAAUGUUAGCGAGCUGGGGGAGGUACUAGCUGAUGGAUCCAUUGGCAGGAAAUGUAAUAGCCAUUCAGGUUUUUGUAACCAAUGUUGUGCUGGUCUCAUAGAGUGAGUAGGAGAAUGUUUCUUCCUAUUCUUUUCUUGGAAGGGUGUGUAUAAGAUUGGUAAAAUUUGCCAUGUAAGCUCUCCGCAGGCCCCACCCAGGCGGCUGCCCGUGACCUGCCUGGGCGCAGGGAACGGAAAGCCGGAGGGGGCAAGAUGAGUUCAAUUUGCCAUGGGGCUGUUGGUUAAAACCCAGGAGAAGCCACCAAAAGAACUGGCCAAUGAAUGGUCAUUGAAGAUAAGAAAGGAAAUGAGAGUUGUUGACAGGCAAAUAAAGGAUAUCCAAAGAGAAGAAGAAAAAGUGAAAUGAUCUGUGAAAGAUGCAGUCAAGAAGGGCCAGAAGGAAAUGUGCACGGUUCUGGCCAGGGAGAUGAUCAGGUCAGGGAAGGCCGCGAGCAAGCUGUAUGCAUCCAAAGUGCCCAUGAACUCAGUGCUCAUGGGGAUGAGGAACCAGCUUGCGGUCUUGCGAGUGGCUGGUUCCCUGUAGAAGAGCACAGAAGUAAUGAGGGCCAUGCAGAGUCUUGUGAAGAUUCCAGAAAUUCAGGCCACCAUGAGGGAGCUGUCCAAAGAAAUGAUGAAGGCUGGGAUCAUAGAGGAGAUGUUAGAGGACACUUUCGAAAGCGUGGACGACCAGGAAGAAAUGGAGGAAGAAGCAGAAAUGGAAAUUGACAAAAUUCUAUUUGAAAUUACAGCAGGGGCCUUGGGCAAAGCACCCAGUAAAGUGACUGAUGCUCUUCCAGAGCCAGAACCUUCAGGAGCGAUGGCUGCCCCAGAGGAUGAGGAGGAGGAAGAAGCUCUGGGGGCCAUGCAGUCCCGGCUGGCCACACUCCACAGCUAGGGGCGGCCCACCUGCUGGGUGUGCACGCACUCCUCUGAAGAGCUGCCAUUUUAUGUAUUUCUUGGAUUACACCUCUCUUGUGAGGACUACCAUUUUGUAGAAGAUUCUGUUUGUCUCUUUUCACUCUCUGCCCAGGUUUUGGGAUCUUAAAGAGGUUGUUCUUAUAAAGGUUGUGUCAAUAAAUGCAUCAUUUUUAGGAGUAUAGAGAGAAAUGUCUUAUUGUGGGAAGGGGAAAGAAAUCCAUCUUCUCAUAAAGCACUUCUGAAAAUACAGGUGAUUGCCUGAAUGUUGAAGACUCUACUUUUGUCUAUAAAACACUGUAUAAAUGAAUUUUAAUA